rnacentral:lncRNA from 1 species
UUUGGGGCCACGCCUGCUUAUGCAGCUAUCUUGACCAUUAUGUGCUCAGCAAUACCUCACAAGUCACUCUGAGAUGAACACUUUGAGCAAACAGGGCCAGGACAUCACAGUGACCCAGGCUGUGAAAACACUUCAGGCCAGUCCCUGAGUAGGAAUGGACAACAAGGUGGUCACCAUGCUGACAGCUAUUCCCUGUGUGAUUUACUUUAUUAUGAAGUCUAAAUUUGAUGCUGAAGUGCUAGCCUAAGCUCACUAACCUGCCAACUUAGAGAAGAAGGUAACCAUGGCUAGGAUGACUGGGAAUCUGAUGGACUCAAUUAAGAAUUUCUACAGAUGGGAAAACCAAAACUCCUUAGUGGCAAGAGGCCAAAGAUGGUCAGCGAAUUGUUGUUUCCGGCUGUUGGAAGUUGACUGCAGUUGAAUAACAGAACAAAAACGGAGCUUCAAAAUCAUGGCGUGCCUGCUUCUUCUGGGUUCUUUUAACUGCAAGCAAUCAGCUUUGAAGAGCACCUCAAGAAUAACAUUUACAUAUGAAAGAAAAUAGGAGAUGGCUCAGAAUAAUAUGUCCAAGGCCACGCCCAGGCGUCAGGGAUUCAUGAAUUUUGUAUACAGUGUAUGAUGUUUCUAGAUUAAAAUAUUUUCAAAGGUAACAUGAUAUAGGCUCCCUCUGUAAUGACUGCAUUUGAUUAUGCUCUGGUAAUUCUAUCAGCUAACUUUAUCUCAGAAAUGUGGGGUACCCACAAUGCAGUGCCUCAACUGUAACCAUAUACCAUUCAGUGAGGCUGUCUAGCUUCACCCUGUCAUUGUGGGGUGGCAGAAGGGAGACACUGUGAUGGGCAACAAGUCAAUCCAAUACUCCUACAAGAGCCAGAUGGAUGUAUUAUUUAUAGUCAGUCUUAGGGCUGUCGUCCUUUUGGGAGUGCGCAUGAAUUUGAUGACCAGCUGUUACAAAUUUGUUAUCCUGAAACUAUUUUAGAAGUUGGGGGGAAGGGAGGAAAGCCUUUUAAAAGUGCGAGUAAAGCAGUAUUUGGAGAAACUUCCUGCCUGUGUUUUACCAGAAAACUUUGCUGGUUUUCCUUGCUCUUUGGUGAGGUUAGCCCUGUCUUUUUAUCCAAUUUUCCCAUUGAUGUAGCCUAGUGUGUGCUGUAAACCACGGACCUUUGCUGUGCUUUGGGAACAUUUAGAAAACUCUUACCAAUUAAUUUUCUGAAAGUAAUUCCAGUGAUAAACUUUAAAACACAUUGAUUUAAAGAAGUAUAAUGUCUUUUUUUUUUUUUUUUUUUUUUUUUGAGAGAGAGUCUCACUCUGUCACCAGGCUGGAGUACAGUGGCGCAAUCUUGGCUCACUGCAACAUCCGCCACCCAGGUUCACGCCAUCUCCCACCUCAGCCUCCCGAGUAGCUGGGAGUACAGGCACGUGCCACCAAGCCCAGCUAAUUUUUGUAUUUUUAGUAGAGGCAGCAUUUCACCAUGUUGGCCAGGAUGGUCUUGAUCUCUUGACCUCAUAACCCACCUGCCUCGGCCUCCCAAAGUGCUGGGAUUACAGGCAUGAGCCACCACACCCAGCCAAAGAAGUAUAAUUUUUAAAUUUUAUUUAUUUAUUUAUUUUGUAAAGAUAGAGUCUUGUUGUGUCCCAGGCUGGAGUACAGUGGCAUGAUUAUGGCUCACCACAGCCUCUACCUCCUGGGUUCAAGCAAUCCUCCUGUCUCAGCCUCCCGAGUAGCUGGGACCACAGGCAUAUACCACCACACCUGGCUAAUUUUUUUUUUCUUUUUUUCUUUUUUUUUUUUUUUUGUAGAGACAGGAUCAUGCUAGGUUGCCCAGGCUCAUCUCGAACUCCUGGGUUCAAGCGAUCCUCCUCCUCAGCCUCCCAAAGUGAUGUGAUUACAGGCAUGAGCCACCAUACCCAGCCUCGAAUAAGUAUAAUUUGUUUUUAAUCUUGUCCCUGAAACGUCUCUGCCCUUCCCUAAACUUUCAAACUUAAGUUUUGCAACCUCCUCCUGGAGAUAAGAAGGGCCAGAAUAUUUUAGGAAAACCCUUCCUCCCUUAACCAAAGACUUAUGCUUCUCUCCUCCGCCCUCCUCCCCCUGCCUAAAGGAAGAACAUUGACUUGUAAUUAUAAUUUUUUAAAAUAAUGAAUACAAGGUUAAAUAUAUUGCACAUUGAUACCUAAUCUAUGCUCCUCAAAAUGAUUUCAAAAAGUUAAGAUUUUGAUUAAAAGUCUAUUUUCAUAUUAGAAGAAAUAUCUAUAGAAUGAAUCUCAAAACAUGUGGUAGGAUUACAGGUAACUUUUAUUUUCCCGUUAGAACUGUUCCUUCAUUUAUUAAACAAAUAUGUAUUGAAUGUACCUGUUAGGCACACAGUACCAUGCAGGUCCUGGAAUCAAAAGGAAAUAUAGAGAACAGUUAGGUUAUGGACUUCGGUGCCAGACUGAGUUUGUAGUUAGGCUCUGCUGCUCACUACUGUGCUAUCUUAGAGAAGUUGCUUAACUUCUCUGUUCCUUAGUUUGUUCAUCUGUAAAAUG